rnacentral:rRNA from 1 species
ACGCGAAGAACCUUACCUGGUCUUGACAUCCACAGAAGUUUUCAGAGAUGAGAAUGUGCCUUCGGGAACCGUGAGACAGGUGCUGCAUGGCUGUCGUCAGCUCGUGUUGUGAAAUGUUGGGUUAAGUCCCGCAACGAGCGCAACCCUUAUCCUUUGUUGCCAGCGGUCCGGCCGGGAACUCAAAGGAGACUGCCAGUGAUAAACUGGAGGAAGGUGGGGAUGACGUCAAGUCAUCAUGGCCCUUACGACCAGGGCUACACACGUGCUACAAUGGCGCAUACAAAGAGAAGCGACCUCGCGAGAGCAAGCGGACCUCAUAAAGUGCGUCGUAGUCCGGAUUGGAGUCUGCAACU